CCUACGGGAGGCAGCAGUGAGGAAUUUUCCGCAAUGGGCUAACGCCUGACGGAGCAAUGCCGCGUGGAGGAGGAAGGCCUGUGGGUCGUAAACUCCUUUUCUCAGAGAAGAAGAUCUGACGGUAUCUGAGGAAUAAGCAUCGGCUAACUCUGUGCCAGCAGCCGCGGUAAUACAGGGGAUGCAAGCGUUAUCCGGAAUUAUUGGGCGUAAAGCGUCCUGAGGUGGCUUACCCAGUCGACUGUGAAAGCUCAAGGCUCAACCUUGAAACGGCAGUCGAAACUUGUAAGCUUGAGUACGGUAGAGGCAGAGGGAAUUCCCGGAGGAGAGGUGAAAUUCGUAGAUAUCGGGAGGAAGGCCAAAGGCGAAAGCACUCUGCUGGGCCGAUUACUGACACUGACAGACGAAAGCUAGGGGAGCGAAAGGGAUUAGAUACCCCUGUAGUCCUAGCCGUAAACGAUGGAUACUAAGUGUUGCGCGACUCAACUCGUGCAGUGCUGCAGCUACGACGGUAAGUACGUCCGCCGUCGGGAGGUAGUGCGUCGCGAGAGUAGAAACGUUAAAGGUAAGUUAGACGGCGUGAGACGUGCCGACGGACGACGACGAGGGAGGAGG
rnacentral:rRNA from 1 species